rnacentral:lncRNA from 1 species
CACUGGAUUAUGCUGGACAGGGAACGAAAAGUGGAAUGGCAAGAUAGAUUAAAACGGAUCUGCUUUUCUGGAAAUUAAUCCGAUAAAACCGUCCUCCCCCUUGUCAGCCUGGAAAGGC